UACGAAGGGGGCUAGCGUUGUUCGGAAUCACUGGGCGUAAAGCGCACGUAGGCGGACUCUUAAGUCGGGGGUGAAAUCCUGGAGCUCAACUCCAGAACUGCCUUCGAUACUGGGAGUCUUGAGUUCGGGAGAGGUGAGUGGAACUGCGAGUGUAGAGGUGAAAUUCGUAGAUAUUCGCAAGAACACCAGUGGCGAAGGCGGCUCACUGGCCCGAUACUGACGCUGAGGUGCGAAAGCGUGGGGAGCAAACAGG
rnacentral:rRNA from 1 species